CUCGGGUGAAGGAACUAGGCAAAAUGGUGCCGUAACUUCGGGAGAAGGCACGCUGACACGUAGGUGAAGUGGUUUACCCAUGGAGCUGAAGUCAGUCGAAGAUACCAGCUGGCUGCAACUGUUUAUUAAAAACACAGCACUGUGCAAACACGAAAGUGGACGUAUACGGUGUGACGCCUGCCCGGUGCCGGAAGGUUAAUUGAUGGGGUCAGCGCAAGCGAAGCUCCUGAUCGAAGCCCCGGUAAACGGCGGCCGUAACUAUAACGGUCCUAAGGUAGCGAAAUUCCUUGUCGGGUAAGUUCCGACCUGCACGAAUGGCGUAAUGAUGGCCAGGCUGUCUCCACCCGGGACUCAGUGAAAUUGAACUCGCUGUGAAGAUGCAGUGUACCCGCGGCAAGACGGAAAGACCCCGUGAACCUUUACUAUAGCUUGACACUGAACACUGGUCCUUGAUGUGCAGGAUAGGUGGGAGGCUUUGAAGUGUGGACGCCAGUCUGCAUGGAGCCAUCCUUGAAAUACCACCCUUUAAUGGCUGGUGUUCUAACGUGGGCCCGUGAACCGGGUUGCGGACAGUGUCUGGUGGGUAGUUUGACUGGGGCGGUCUCCUCCUAAAGAGUAACGGAGGAGCACGAAGGUUGGCUAAUCCUGGUCGGACAUCAGGAGGUUAGUGCAAUGGCAUAAGCCAGCUUGACUGCGAGCGUGACGGCGCGAGCAGGUGCGAAAGCAGGUCAUAGUGAUCCGGUGGUUCUGAAUGGAAGGGCCAUCGCUCAACGGAUAAAAGGUACUCCGGGGAUAACAGGCUGAUACCGCCCAAGAGUUCAUAUCGACGGCGGUGUUUGGCACCUCGAUGUCGGCUCAUCACAUCCUGGGGCUGAAGUAGGUCCCAAGGGUAUGGCUGUUCGCCAUUUAAAGUGGUACGCGAGCUGGGUUUAGAACGUCGUGAGACAGUUCGGUCCCUAUCUGCCGUGGGCGCUGGAAGAUUGAGGGGGGCUGCUCCUAGUACGAGAGGACCGGAGUGGACGCAUCACUGGUGUUCGGGUUGUCAUGCCAAUGGCACUGCCCGGUAGCUACAUGCGGAAGAGAUAAGUGCUGAAAGCAUCUAAGCACGAAACUUGCCCCGAGAUGAAUCUUCCCUGAGCCUUUAAGGCUCCUGAAGGAACGUUGAAGACGACGACGUUGAUAGGCCGGGUGUGUAAGCGCAGCGAUGCGUUGAGCUAACCGGUACUAAUGAACCGUGAGGCUUAACCUUACAACGCCGAAG
rnacentral:rRNA from 2 species